rnacentral:rRNA from 1 species
CUUGGUCAUUUAGAGGAAGUAAAAGUCGUAACAAGGUCUCCGUUGGUGAACCAGCGGAGGGAUCAUUACCGAGUUUACAACUCCCAAACCCCUGUGAACAUACCACUUGUUGCCUCGGCGGAUCAGCCCGCUCCCGGUAAAACGGGACGGCCCGCCAGAGGACCCCUAAACUCUGUUUCUAUAUGUAACUUCUGAGUAAAACCAUAAAUAAAUCAAAACUUUCAACAACGGAUCUCUUGGUUCUGGCAUCGAUGAAGAACGCAGCCCCCCCGUGCCCA